rnacentral:lncRNA from 1 species
UUGCAAUGUCUAAAAGCCUGGACUAGCUUCACUAUGUCCUUUGUGAACAAGCCUGCUAAAAAGGAACAACAGUUUACAAAGUGAACCUAGUCAGUCUCUUGCUGAAUCAGUUGAUGAUCAUGAGUCUCAGUCUACUCUUGUGGUUGAUACAGCUACAGUUUUUACAGCUACAGUUGAUGUACAGUCAAUUGUUGCUCAUUCUCCAUCACCCUAUUCUUCUACUUCCUCUACUAAUACUACUACUACUAGUACUAUUACCACUACAGAAGUCAGUGUUGGAGCUACACCACCCACUA